GUCCACGCCGUAAACGAUGGGCACUAGGCGUCGGGGGGAGCGACCCUCCCGGUGCCGUCGCUAACGCAGUAAGUGCCCCGCCUGGGGAGUACGGCCGCAAGGCUGAAACUCAAAGGAAUUGACGUGGGCCCGCACAAGCGGUGGAGCAUGUGGUUUAAUUCGAAGCAACGCGAAGAACCUUACCUGGGCUUGACAUGCACGGGAAAGCCGGUGGAAACAUCGGUUCCUCUUCGGAGUCCGUGCACAGGUGCUGCAUGGCUGUCGU
rnacentral:rRNA from 1 species